GGGUUGUGAGGUUAAGCGACUAAGCGUACACGGUGGAUGCCCUGGCAGUCAGAGGCGAUGAAGGACGUGCUAAUCUGCGAAAAGCGUCGGUAAGGUGAUAUGAACCGUUAUAACCGGCGAUGUCCGAAUGGGGAAACCCAGUGUGAUUCGUCACACUAUCGUUAACUGAAUACAUAGGUUAACGAGGCGAACCGGGGGAACUGAAACAUCUAAGUACCCGAGGAAAAGAAAUCAACCGAGAUUCCCCCAGUAGCGGCGAGCGAACGGGGAGCAGCCCAGAGUCUGAAUCAGCUUGUGUGUUAGUGGAACGGUCUGGAAAGUCCGACGGUACAGGGUGAUAGUCCCGUACACCAAAAUGCACAGGCUGUGAACUCGAAGAGUAGGGCGGGACACGUGGUAUCCUGUCUGAAUAUGGGGGACCAUCCUCCAAGGCUAAAUACUCCUGACUGACCGAUAGUGAACCAGUACCGUGAGGGAAAGGCGAAAAGAACCCCGGCGAGGGGAGUGAAAAAGAACCUGAAACCGUGUACGUACAAGCAGGGAGCACCUUCGGGUGUGACUGCGUACCUUUUGUAUAAUGGGUCAGCGACUUAUAUUCUGUAGCAAGGUUAACCGUAUAGGGGAGCCGCAGGGAAACCGAGUCUUAACUGGGCGUUAAGUUGCAGGGUAUAGACCCGAAACCCGGUGAUCUAGCCAUGGGCAGGUUGAAGGUUGGGUAACACUAACUGGAGGACCGAACCGACUAAUGUUGAAAAAUUAGCGGAUGACUUGUGGCUGGGGGUGAAAGGCCAAUCAAACCGGGAGAUAGCUGGUUCUCCCCGAAAGCUAUUUAGGUAGCGCCUCGUGAAUUCAUCUUCGGGGUAGAGCACUGUUUCGGCUAGGGGGUCAUCCCGACUUACCAACCCGAUGCAAACUACGAAUACCGAAGAAUGUUAUCACGGGAGACACACGGCGGGUGCUAACGUCCGUCGUGAAGAGGGAAACAACCCAGACCGCCAGCUAAGGUCCCAAAGUCAUGGUUAAGUGGGAAACGAUGUGGGAAGGCACAGACAGCCAGGAUGUUGGCUUAGAAGCAGCCAUCAUUUAAAGAAAGCGUAAUAGCUCACUGGUCGAGUCGGCCUGCGCGGAAGAUGUAACGGGGCUAAACCAUGCACCGAAGCUGCGGCAGCGACACUAUGUGUUGUUGGGUAGGGGAGCGUUCUGUAAGCCUGCGAAGGUGUGCUGUGAGGCAUGCUGGAGGUAUCAGAAGUGCGAAUGCUGACAUAAGUAACGAUAAAGCGGGUGAAAAGCCCGCUCGCCGGAAGACCAAGGGUUCCUGUCCAACGUUAAUCGGGGCAGGGUGAGUCGACCCCUAAGGCGAGGCCGAAAGGCGUAGUCGAUGGGAAACAGGUUAAUAUUCCUGUACUUGGUGUUACUGCGAAGGGGGGACGGAGAAGGCUAUGUUAGCCGGGCGACGGUUGUCCCGGUUUAAGCAUGUAGGCUGGUUGUCCAGGCAAAUCCGGAUAAUCAAGGCUGAGGUGUGAUGACGAGGCACUACGGUGCUGAAGUAACAAAUGCCCUGCUUCCAGGAAAAGCCUCUAAGCAUCAGGUAACAUCAAAUCGUACCCCAAACCGACACAGGUGGUCAGGUAGAGAAUACCAAGGCGCUUGAGAGAACUCGGGUGAAGGAACUAGGCAAAAUGGUGCCGUAACUUCGGGAGAAGGCACGCUGGUGUGUAGGUGAAGUCCCUGCGGAUGGAGCUGAGACCAGUCGAAGAUACCAGCUGGCUGCAACUGUUUAUUAAAAACACAGCACUGUGCAAACACGAAAGUGGACGUAUACGGUGUGACGCCUGCCCGGUGCCGGAAGGUUAAUUGAUGGGGUUAUCCGUAAGGAGAAGCUCUUGAUCGAAGCCCCGGUAAACGGCGGCCGUAACUAUAACGGUCCUAAGGUAGCGAAAUUCCUUGUCGGGUAAGUUCCGACCUGCACGAAUGGCGUAAUGAUGGCCAGGCUGUCUCCACCCGAGACUCAGUGAAAUUGAACUCGCUGUGAAGAUGCAGUGUACCCGCGGCAAGACGGAAAGACCCCGUGAACCUUUACUAUAGCUUGACACUGAACAUUGAGCCUUGAUGUGUAGGAUAGGUGGGAGGCUUUGAAGCGUGGACGCCAGUCUGCGUGGAGCCAACCUUGAAAUACCACCCUUUAAUGUUUGAUGUUCUAACGUUGGCCCCUUACCGGGGUUGCGGACAGUGUCUGGUGGGUAGUUUGACUGGGGCGGUCUCCUCCCAAAGCGUAACGGAGGAGCACGAAGGUUAGCUAAUCCUGGUCGGACAUCAGGAGGUUAGUGCAAUGGCAUAAGCUAGCUUGACUGCGAGCGUGACGGCGCGAGCAGGUGCGAAAGCAGGUCAUAGUGAUCCGGUGGUUCUGAAUGGAAGGGCCAUCGCUCAACGGAUAAAAGGUACUCCGGGGAUAACAGGCUGAUACCGCCCAAGAGUUCAUAUCGACGGCGGUGUUUGGCACCUCGAUGUCGGCUCAUCACAUCCUGGGGCUGAAGUAGGUCCCAAGGGUAUGGCUGUUCGCCAUUUAAAGUGGUACGCGAGCUGGGUUUAGAACGUCGUGAGACAGUUCGGUCCCUAUCUGCCGUGGGCGCUGGAGAAUUGAGGGGGGCUGCUCCUAGUACGAGAGGACCGGAGUGGACGCAUCACUGGUGUUCGGGUUGUCAUGCCAAUGGCACUGCCCGGUAGCUAAAUGCGGAAGAGAUAAGUGCUGAAAGCAUCUAAGCACGAAACUUGCCCCGAGAUGAGUUCUCCCUGAGACUUUAAGUCUCCUGAAGGAACGUUAAAGACGAUGACGUUGAUAGGCCGGGUGUGUAAGCGCAGCGAUGCGUUGAGCUAACCGGUACUAAUGAACCGUGAGGCUUAACCUUACAACGCCGAAG
rnacentral:rRNA from 1 species